rnacentral:rRNA from 1 species
UACGGAGGGGGCUAGCGUUGUUCGGAAUUACUGGGCGUAAAGGGCGCGUAGGCGGCUUAUCGAGUCCGAUGUGAAAGGCCUGGGCUUAACCUGGGAAUGGCAUUGGAUACUGGUAGGCUUGAGACCGGGAGAGGGCAGUGGAAUUCCCAGUGUAGAGGUGAAAUUCGUAGAUAUUGGGAAGAACACCGGUGGCGAAGGCGGCUGCCUGGCCCGGUUCUGACGCUGAGGCGCGAAAGCGUGGGGAGCAAACAGG